AUACGUAGGGAGCGAGCGUUGUCCGGAAUUACUGGGCGUAAAGGGCGCGUAGGCGGCGCUUCAAGUCGUCUGUCAAAUGGGAGGGCUUAACCCUUUUUCGCAGACGAAACUGGAGAGCUUGAGAAGCAGAGAGGCAGACAGAAUUCCUGGUGUAGCGGUGAAAUGCGUAGAUAUCAGGAAGAAUACCAGUGGCGAAGGCGGUUUGCUGGCUGCAUACUGACGCUGAAGCGCGAAAGCCAGGGGAGCAAACGGGAUUAGAUACCCCGGUAGUCCUGGCAGUAAACGAUGUAUGCUGGGUGUGAGACUAGCGAUAGUUUCGUGCCGAAGUUAACGCGAUAAGCAUACCGCCUGGGGAGUACGGUCGCAAGAUUGAAACUCAAAGGAAUUGACGGG
rnacentral:rRNA from 1 species